GUGGGGAAUCUUGCACAAUGGGGGCAACCCUGAUGCAGCGACGCCGCGUGAGCGAUGAAGCCCUUCGGGGUGUAAAGCUCUUUCGGCAGGGAAGAUUAUGACGGUACCUGCAGAAGCAGCUGCGGCUAACUACGUGCCAGCAGCCGCGGUAAUACGUAGGCAGCAAGCGUUGUUCGGAGUUACUGGGCGUAAAGGGUGUGUAGGCGGUUCUCUAAGUUUGGUGUGAAAUCUCCCGGCUCAACUGGGAGGGUGCGCCGAAAACUGGGGGGCUAGAGUACUGGAUGGGAGAGUGGAAUUCCUGGUGUAGCGGUGAAAUGCGUAGAUAUCAGGAGGAACACCUGUGGUGUAGACGGCUCUCUGGACAGUAACUGACGCUGAGACACGAAAGCGUGGGUAGCAAACAGGAUUAGAAACCCGAGUAGUCC
rnacentral:rRNA from 1 species